CUUACCAUUGCACCAAUAGAAAACAACCACAGAAGAAGAUGUUCCAUUAGACUAGCCAAUCAUGACUUACAUUUCCUUUAAUGGAAAAGUGUGCAUUGGUCGUGACAUCCGUGAGUAAGAACAUUGUCGCUGCCUGUCAGCUACAGGUCAUCAUCACAUAUGGACGAGCUGUGGAACUGAACAGACCAAGGUGGAGGGUGAGGUCAAAAUUACUCCUCGAAAGAUUUACAGAUAUGGCUCCAUAACAACACGAAUCCUAUUAAACUCCAGUGACUCCAGUUCAUGCCCUGUUGUGUCUGGUGUGCCUGCUGUGUCCUGGAUAGUGAUGUUGACCCCAGCCUUAACUGUUUUCUCCUUGUUCCUCUCUUUUAUUUUGGUUUAUCAUCUUAAUCAGAAAACAGAUAAGGACGUUCAUCAGAAAAUGCUUGACACCAGAGGUCAAACAAGAGGGAAUCAGGAUGAAGAUUUGUGUUUAACACGAGUUGUGUUCCGGGCUCAGCAUGGACAAACCCACCAGUAGGCAGAAGAUGGACAGAACAAACACUGAUUUAUUCAAGCAAAAGAAAAAAAGUGCGCAGUUUAAUUUGUUAUUUCCUCUUGCUUUUCCAGCCAGUUAUUGUAUGUGUGUGUGCAGCUGUGAGUACAUCAUUGAUGACGUCAUGAGGCUGAUAAUCAGCCUCAUAACAGCCUCUCUCUCAAUUCAUUUUAAAACAGCGCUUACUUGCUGACUUGUUUUGUUUGUUGUUUACAUUAAAAGCCAUGUGCUAGUAAAAAUACCAUGUUAUCAAAGUUAAU